rnacentral:rRNA from 1 species
UGGGGAAUUUUGGGCAAUGGGCGCAAGCCUGACCCAGCGACACUGCGUGGGUGAUGACGGUCUUUGGAUUGUAAAACCCUUUUAUGGAGGAGUAAGGCGGGAAGGAGGAAAUGCCUUUCCGUUUGACAGUACUCCAUGAAUAAGCCCCAGCCAACUACGUGCCAGCAGCUGCGGUAAUACGUAGGGGGCAAGCGUUGUCCGGAAUUACUGGGUGUAAAGGGUGUGCAGGCGUCUCCCUAAGUUGAUUGUGAAAGCCCGAAGCUCAACUUCGGAACGGCAGUCAAUACUGGGGGGAUGGAGGUUAUGGGAGGGAAGUGGAAUUCUCGGUGUAGCGGUGAAAUGCGUAGAUAUCGAGAGGAACACCGGUGGCGAAGGCGGCUUCCUAUCAUAGACCUGACGCUCAUACACGAAAGCUAGGGGAGCAAACAGG